CCGCGGUAAUACGAAGGGUGCAAGCGUUACUCGGAAUUACUGGGCGUAAAGCGUGCGUAGGUGGUUGUUUAAGUCUGAUGUGAAAGCCCUGGGCUCAACCUGGGAAUGGCAUUGGAUACUGGAUAGCUAGAGUGCGGUAGAGGGUAGUGGAAUUCCCGGUGUAGCAGUGAAAUGCGUAGAGAUCGGGAGGAACAUCCGUGGCGAAGGCGACUACCUGGGCCAGCACUGACACUGAGGCACGAAAGCGUGG
rnacentral:rRNA from 1 species